AAUCAACGCUGGCGGCGUGCUUAACACAUGCAAGUCGAGCGGGGUGAUGGUGCUUGCACUAUCACUUAGCGGCGGACGGGUGAGUAAUGCUUAGGAAUCUGCCUAUUAGUGGGGGACAACAUCUCGAAAGGGAUGCUAAUACCGCAUACGUCCUACGGGAGAAAGCAGGGGAUCACUUGUGACCUUGCGCUAAUAGAUGAGCCUAAGUCGGAUUAGCUAGUUGGUGGGGUAAAGGCCUACCAAGGCGACGAUCUGUAGCGGGUCUGAGAGGAUGAUCCGCCACACUGGGACUGAGACACGGCCCAGACUCCUACGGGAGGCAGCAGUGGGGAAUAUUGGACAAUGGGGGGAACCCUGAUCCAGCCAUGCCGCGUGUGUGAAGAAGGCCUUAUGGUUGUAAAGCACUUUAAGCGAGGAGGAGGCUCUUUUGGUUAAUACCCAAGAUGAGUGGACGUUACUCGCAGAAUAAGCACCGGCUAACUCUGUGCCAGCCGCCGCCGUAA
rnacentral:rRNA from 1 species